AGCGUGGAAACCAAUCGGUCGUGUUGAUAAGAACGUAUGUAAUAUUUUGUGCAUUUUACUUCUUUGGCGCUUAACGUUAUGUUUACUUUUUCUAUGACAAUUGUUGCAAUUUUAGUAUAUAGUCACAAUAUACACAGUUUAAACCUAGUAGAAGUAGAUUUAAAUAAUAUUUUUAAAAAUGUGGACAAACAAAAGCAAAGGAUUCAGUCAGUCGAUUAUAAAAAAUCGAAUGUUGAUGAAUUACUUAAAUUAAUCAAAAGAGUUAUUAAAGGAUUAAGUGUGGACGAAAAAAUAUCUAACGAUUAUAAAGAAAAUAUAUUAAAUUUAGAUCAAAUUCAGCGUUCGAGUGAGGAUUUUACUAAAUUGACCAUAAAUGAAAAUCCUAAUGUAAAACCUCAUUUGUUUAAAUUACACCCCAAGCAAAUAGCGCAAAAUGAUCAGACGAAUGAAGGACAGGGGAUUUAUAAAGAUAUUCGCAACGAUCGUAACGACUAUUCCAAAGUUUACUUGGUCCUCGACCCAGGCAGCAAUUUAUCAAGUUCCGAUGUCAAAGAAAUAAGCAACUUGGUGUCUUCUUUGCUUACAAAAUCUGUACUCAAUAAAAAGACAACAUUUAAAGAUCGCCAUAAAGGGAUAAGGCGAUACAAAGGAUUCGUCAUAAGCGAUAACAGACGGCGAUUCAAAGACAAACAAGAAAAAUUCGCAAUUGAGUCUUCUAUAGAGGAUGAUUAUAAGCCAAAAAGAAGUAGAGGCGGUGGCGGUGGCGGUCGGACUGCUAUUCCAUAUAUAAGACACAGAGGUGACAUAUACGAGAGAGAUUAAAA